rnacentral:tRNA from 1 species
GGAGCUGUGGCUCAGUGGUAGAGCGCUUGCCUGGCAUGCAUGAGCCAUUGGUUUUGAUCCUCAGCACCA